AUGGAGACUCCUCAGCGCUGUAUUAAACCAGGGACCUUUCCACCACCGACCUACGGCAGAGAACAGCCUGCAAGGGAACCAUGUUUCAGGGCUGAUGGUGAAAGAAUCGGUAAGAAGACGAUAAGCACCAUUAAACACCGCUGCAGGAGCAGACCUAGCACGCCGGUGGCUACUGUGAAGCAAUCAAUACUCGGAGGAGCUACAGAUGGGUGUGUGGGAAGAAUCGGCAGAGCAUCCCUCCGUCACUCCAGGAAAAAAAAUCUGUUCCCAGCAGGAGUUUUCUCUGGCUCUGUGAGCAUCACCUUAGCUAACAUAUUAGAGUAAUUGCUACCUGUUACUGUUUUGAUUGUCUGUCUUUUUAAAGGGCAAAGCACUUUGUAACUCACAUUUUCUAAUAAAUAAAUAAUACAAAUAUAUUAUGUAUAUUUUAUAAUGAGUGUACUUUAUUACAAUGCAUAUGAAGAUUAAAAACAACGGUUAACCACAGUGUGUGUUUUGUUUUUUCAGCCAGGGAAAUAACAGCUGAAAGAAGACAUCACUUCAUUGUCCAAACACACAUUCGACAAACUAAUGAUGAAUGAGGACGAGAACCAGGAAAAGUAAAAAAAAAAAAACUACUUCAAAUACCAUUCAUGGAAGAAUGCAACGUAUCCAGUUUCUCAUAAUCAGCAUGACUAUGUUGGGCGAAAACAAACAAACACUUUUUUCUCACAGGAGCCUGCCUGGGGCCCCAGAUAUGAGGAGGGGCUCCAUCAAAGCACACCGUUAUUAAUCUGGGCUAAUUGUAGCCUCCUCCAUUUCAACAUCCAGCAGUCGUAUCCUUCAUAAUCAAGACCCUUACUUUUCCCAGAGACAGGCUGAAGAACCAACCCCUGAAGAUCAAAUCACUGAAACAUCAAGAAAUGUACAUUAUUUAUAUAUAUUUAUUUUUAUUGAAUGAGGCAGAGAGAGUUUUUGGUUUGUGGUUGUGUUAUUUUCAUCAGACACAAUCAAUUAAUCAAUUAACAGGGAUAAGAAGUAAUCAAGCCUUAUGCAGAUGGAAUUUUGUUAGUAGUUACUUUAGUAAGAUAUAUUACAACAUAGAGCAUUAAAGCAUUAUUUACUUUAAUGCUCUAGAAAAAGCGUCACUUUGCAUUUAGUUAUAUAUACAUGUAAUUUUCAUUUAUUUAUUCAAUUAUUUGCACCCAUCUAAUAAAAACACAGAAAUUCACAAAACAGCUCAGUAGUGCCAAAUUUGAGUUGUAUUUGUUAAAAAAGUCAAAUUUUCAGGUAAAAUUUUCUUUAUGACUUGACCUUACUUUUUGUGCUGAAUGACAUAUGACAUAUGCCACAGCACCUGUUUUGCUCCUUUUAGCACAGAUCUGCACCUCUGUGUUCCUUACUUGAAUGCCCAUAAUAAUCCAAGUUGCAAAUCACACUCUGAUACCAAUCUCCUUUGAAAUGGAAUGCAUCUGAGUGGAAUAAUUCAUUCACUUAUCUCUAGCAACUUAGUUAAAAGGACCCAUACUGUUUGGGUUCCCUCUCUCUCCCACCCCUGCUCCCAUGGGGAAAGGAGGAUGGGGGAUGGGUGUAUUUGACUUGGGAUGGCUGGAUUUGGAUGGGGGGUUGGGACAUCUACAUACAGAGACUAACAUUAUUGCCUCCGGUUCUUAUGCACAAGGAGGAACAUGUUUCCUCUUCAGCAAACAUCUUGCAAAACAUAAAGUCUGAUUGUUGUUCAAUCUGGUCGUUCCAGAAACUCCCCCACAGAACAUAAUAAUAAUAAAUGAAAGUCCAGCAGGACUGGGGGUGAGCCAGAGCCAUGAGUCUUGGGGGCUGACAUUCCACAGAGAUUCCCUAAAUAGGGUUUAGGACAGCACCCACAAACAGACUGGAUAUUGGAUUAUGGUGGCAUAGUAGUCACAUGAUCCAUCUAGAUCACGUGACGGCUCGGCUCCUUGUCACCUCUUCAGGUGGGCAAGCCAAGGACACAAGCUAAUUGCAUGUCAUCGAGGCUUAUAUGUUUCAGGGAACAUAUGCACGCUCACACACACAUGUGUGCAAACGUGCAUGUAGCCACGCUCACAAGCAGUUACGUUUGAAGCGAUGAUCGGUUCCUGUGUUUCAGUGUGACCUCAAGGGGUUGUACGACAGGGCUGUAAGGUCAGGCUGAAAAUACAGAGAUGUACGACGUUAUAUUUAUUUAUAGAAGGGAGGAAUGGGCCAGCACCUUCAACAGGUGUCAUGUUUUGCCGUCUCUGCGGCAAAUCAUAUGCAUUAGAGAAAAUCUCUUCGGCGAAAAAGAUGCAUCAGGGGACGCUUUGAGUAUUCAAGCAACUUAUUUCUCUGUGCUUACUUUUAAUAGGGGACCACAUUUAAACACAACCUCCUGAACCCAAACCCUGACCGACAAGGACUGCUUCUGCUGCCUGGGUUGGACUCAAUCCUCCGACAUCCUUUCCCGCGAAAAAUUGAGUUGUAACUAUCCCCUGCUCGACCUAGAAUAAUACACUUUUAAAAAUGAGCCAUGAUACCAUUGAGGAUGCGUAUAACCCAGCCCCAACUUUACAGGAAGGUGUUGGGCUGCUGCGAUACCUGCACCGACCGGCGGGCUCCAGUGGGAGCCCAGAGAGCAUGUGUCUGGGUCUUCCACCGCCACGUCUAUGUGCUACCAGGCUGCCGGGAGUCUGACACUUCCAUUGAGGGGGUCCUGUGUGUGUCAGUGUGUGUGUCAGUGUGUGUGUCAGUGUGUGUGUGUGUGUGCGUGUGUGUGUGCAUGCCAUGCUGCUCCCGCUGAGGGGCUAAUUAAAACAAUUUCAAGCAUAAAGGAGGGGAGCCCAUUGUAGCACACAGCCAACCCUGCAACGGAUAUGGUGCCAGAGGGGCGCUGUUGUGGAGGAUUAGCACUACUUCAUGAGAUGGACAUAUCAGCCCCCCCCCCCCCACACACACACACACACACACACACACACACACACACACACACACACACACACACACACACACACACACACACACACACACACACACACACACACACACACACACACACACACACACACACACACACACACACACACACCACGAGUGAUAAGCAUUUAAAGUGACCGGCAGCUGUAUAAGUAAACAAGUCAGGGAAAAUUGUGUUGUUGUUGAAUAAUUCAUUAGAAUUAAACUAGUGGGUUUGUAUAUUUCUCCGGCAAGCAGCGUAAUAUUAUUAGUUUAUAUUAGUUAUAUAAAUAUACAAGCAAUAUUUUUUUCAUCAGUUGUGUACAAUUUAUGAGAAAACAUUAUUUCCUACUGGUCAUCACACUGGGGAACUCAGUUGUCCAAACGCUCAAAACCUUUUAAAAGAACUCAAAAUUAAACAUUUCAGAUGCAUGAUUCAUCAUUUGUGAAAUGCAUGUGAAUGAUGAAUGGGCCGUUGAUGUAUGAUCUCCAAGCGGUGCUCCGCCUCGAACACACACCAACAUCCCGCUGGCCUCCUCCCGCAGGUUCACUCAAACCCCCCAAGUUGUCCUGGGACCACCUCCCUUUCCCCUUAGCGGAAGAAAUCCACGAGUGACAAAUCUCCCCGUCAACUUCCUCUCCUUCCUUUCAACCUCGAGUCAACGGACCAACGAAUAUUGGAAUCCUUGCGUCCUGACUCACCUCCGACUCCCCCCACCCCCACCCCCCCACCCCCCCACCCCAA
ensembl:lncRNA